AAUUAACCCUACAUCUCACCCCACCAGGCCCAACACAACCUAACCCGGCCCACUAUUAUUUUCCAUCUCCCUCAAACAACAACCCUUAAACAAGAGCAAGAAACAGAUCCCCAAAUCGCUCAACAUUGCAACAACAACCAAGCUCCGACCCGUUCUAACACCUCACCUGAAAACCCACCGACCCAUCUUCAACCCGAUUUCAACCAAAUCAACCCAUUUGUAGCCUUCUUCACACGUUUCACACGGGUUCACGCGAAGAAAACCCUCGAACCUUCUAGAAAUAAGCUAGGUGUCGUCCCACCACAGCUAACUCCGCUAAUUUCGGGACAACUCGUACGAUCUGGUACAUAUUUGGCUGAUUUCCAUUGGUUUUGGGGAAAAAUUUAUUUUGCCCUUUUUUAAUUGGUCCCCCCGUUGCAAUUUAGCUGAAAACCCCCAAAAAGGGGUACGAAUUGAAGACGAAAAUGGGGUUGUGGGGAAAAUUUUGGGAUUUCAAAUUCAAGAGAUCCUUCUUUCAAAUCCAAAAAAAAAAUACCCCAAUUCAGUUUUUUAUUUAAGAGGGGAAGGGGUCAUUAUUUCAGGGGUUGGAGAUUCGAGAGUUGAAAUUAGGGUUCAAAACUUUGGGGAUUUUUUUUCUCUCCUCUCUUUUUCCUUCAAAGUUGAAAUUUUAGAGGUCUUUGGAUUUUCUGUUUGGGGGGUUCGAAAGUCUUGUUCGAAAAAUUUUUGAGGCUCUCGGGUUCGAAAAUUGGGUUUUGGUCGAUUUUGGUUCAAAAAUAAAAAGAUUUUCUAGGGGAAAUUUAGGUUGAAAAUUCUGGAAAGAAAUAAAGGAGAAGAAAACUUUUAGAGCAUCAUUUUCUUUAGUAAGGUUAUCUCGCUCUUGCUUCUUUGAAAGUUGACUGUUUAAUCGAAAGCCUCGAGGGUUCGUUGAUUGAUUAUGGGUGUGAGGUGAUGAAGACGUCAUUUUCUGAUGGCUACAUAUCUUGACCUUAGCUCGCCGUCCCAUUUGCUGCAUCGAAAUAGUUGAUCACAUAUUAGCAUUCAUGACUUUCUUGCCUUGCAUGAACCCAUCUUGGAGUCCAAAUGGACUCUCCUUCCCUUCGAAUCCCUCAUUGGGCCAAUGAGGCCCAUCUCAUUGAGUCAAGUUGAAAGAAA